rnacentral:tRNA from 1 species
GGGCUCGUAGCUCAGUUGGUUAGAGCGCACGCCUGAUAAGCGUGAGGUCGGUGGUUCGAAUCCACCCGAGCCCA